CCUACGGGGUGCAGCAGUGGGGAAUAUUGCACAAUGGGCGAAAGCCUGAUGCAGCAACGCCGCGUGAAGGAAGAAGGCCUUCGGGUCGUAAACUUCUGUCCUUGGGGAAGAAGAACUGACGGUACCCAAGGAGGAAGCCCCGGCUAACUACGUGCCAGCAGCCGCGGUAAUACGUAGGGGGCAAGCGUUAUCCGGAAUUAUUGGGCGUAAAGAGUACGUAGGUGGCAACCUAAGCGCAGGGUUUAAGGCAAUGGCUCAACCAUUGUUCGCCCUGCGAACUGGGAUGCUUGAGUGCAGGAGAGGAAAGCGGAAUUCCUAGUGUAGCGGUGAAAUCCGUAGAUAUCUGGAGGAACAUCAGUGGCGAAGGCGACUAUCUGGAACAUAACUGACGCUGAGGAGCGAAAGCGUGGGUAGCAAACAGGAUUAGAUACCCUUGUAGUC
rnacentral:rRNA from 1 species